rnacentral:rRNA from 1 species
GUGAGGAAUUUUCGGCAAUGGGCGCAAGCCUGACCGAGCAACGCCGCGUGCAGGAUGAAGGUCUUCGGAUCGUAAACUGCUUUUCCCAGGGAAGAGAACGGACGGUACCUGGGGAAGAAGCCUCGGCUAACUACGUGCCAGCAGCCGCGGUAAGACGUAGGAGGCAAGCGUUAUCCGGAUUUAUUGGGCGUAAAGCGCACGCAGGCGGUCCGCCAAGUUCACGGCGACAGUCACCGGCUUCACCGGUGAAGGAUGGUGAACACUGGCGGACUUGAGAGCGAGAGAGGGACAUGGAACUCCAGGUGGAGCGGUGAAAUGCGUAGAGAUCUGGAAGAACACCAAAGGCGAAGGCAGUGUCCUGGCUCGUAUCUGACGCUCAGGGGCGAAAGCUAGGGGAGCGAACAGGAUUAGAAACCCGAGUAGUCC